GACGGAGGGUGCUAGCGUUGUUCGGAUAUACUGGGCGUAAAGCGCACGUAGGCGGCGCCGUAAGUCAGGGGUGAAAUCCCGGAGCCCAACUCCGGAACUGCCCUUGAAACUGCAGUGCUAGAAUCUUGGAGAGGCGAGUGGAAUUCCGAGUGUAGAGGUGAAAUUCGUAGAUAUUCGGAAGAACACCAGUGGCGAAGGCGACUCGCUGGACAAGUAUUGACGCUGAGGUGCGAAAGCGUGGGGAGCAAACAGG
rnacentral:rRNA from 1 species